rnacentral:lncRNA from 1 species
AGGGCUUCCGCGUCCUGCAAGCCCAGGGCCACACGGGCCCACCCCAAAGUCCGUGCUGCUAAGGAGCCUGCGGUUCCUUGGGUGGUUCUCAAACUUGAGCUGCUUGGAACCCAGGGGUACACCGGUCGGGCCUGGUUCCUGACCCAGCGAAGUUUUCUAAAAAGGACACCUCAGGAGUGUGUGCAAUCACUCUGUGGACAGGUUCUGGAUUGCCUCUGCAGCCCCUGCUGUCUGAGCCUUUGCAGCCCAGCCAAAGGGAAACCGAGGCACAGAGCUGUUGUCCAAGGUCGCAGUGCUGCUAAGGACCCGAUGUGGGCCGUCCCUGGUGUCCCACACUCGGCAUGUCUCUCAGCACACCAGGCCACCCCAGGUCCCUUUGAUCCUCUGCUCUCUGGGGUCCCCUGGCCUCUUGGCUCCACACGCACGCUGUUGGGAAGAUGUUUCUGUUGUUCAUAAAUGAGAGCACGGAUUGCCCAACUUUGCGCCGAGGAAGGGUAAGCAGCGCAGGGCACAGAGGCGGAAUCGGGAACUGGGUGACGGAAGGCCUCGUGAGGUUUCAUCAUCCCGGGAUCAAGGCUCACAUUCGCCCAGGCCUCACUCAUGCCAAGAGCACACCUUACAGGCUGGAAACCAAGGCCCCCGAGGUCACGGGGUGCACGCACCUGGGGAGCCGGCUGACUCAGGUGGUCUUGCUCCAGGGCGGUGUGACUUCCCCUCCAGGGCUGACCGAAGCCUCCAAGUUGAACUUGCAAUGCGCAGAUACUUUCUAAUUUCCAGAGGAAAAGGCAGGGUGGUAAGAAUGCCCAGCACAAGCUUGGCCCGGAUAGGGGCAUGGCCGGGUCACGGGCACCCCCUGCCGCUCACGUGGGACCCCCACCAAGUGUGUCCCUUGCUUCUCCAGUGACAGUGGCGCCUGUGGAGCUCAGGAGUCAGAUAGGGUGCAGGUGGCGGCUGCCCCCCAGUCCCUGGCCUGAGCCUCUUUUAGUCCAGUUGACAAAACACGAAUUCUGCGUCAUCGUCAGCUUCCUGUGCGUGGUCCUCCCCGGGCCCUGCAGCCGCCUGUCAACGCUGCCUUCCAAAAUGAGCCCCGUUGGCCUGGCGCAGGCGGAAAGCUCCAGCCCUAGGCCCUACCUGGCCUGGUCUUGGGCCCUGGCUGACCACAGCUCAGCUUGGUUGGAAGUGCACACAGUAAGUGCUUCCGGGGUGCUGGCUGCCCGCUCCCCACACCCCAGCUCCACAUCCAGGUCCUCUGGGCUCUUGGACUCAACAGUGAUUGUGGGACAGCCACCGUGCUCCAUGCAUGGGCGGGGCUGAGGGGCUACUGUGCCUGCCCUGCCCAAUCCCGGGGGACACACGCAGGCGGCCUGGGUUUCUCUACCACCUCUGCAUCCUUCAGGGAGCACAGGGCUUCCUAGGUCCAACUGACAUCCCCAGGAGGGGGCGUUUCAGGCCGGUCCCUGGGGUGCAGCCAGGAAGCUAAGGCUGAGCAUGGAAUGGCCCUCAGCUCUGGGCUCUC